rnacentral:snRNA from 1 species
CAAUAGCGGUAUAAUAAACG